rnacentral:misc_RNA from 1 species
AAGUCGUAACAAGGUUUCCGUAGGUGAACCUGCGGAAGGAUCAUUAAUGUGAUUGUUAUGUCAUAUGUUGACCCGUAAGGGUUGACAUAUGACAUGCAAGACUCAUCCUUGUGUUGUGUAUUGUGUGUGUGUGUUGUCACACUAUGGUGUCACACCAUCGUGUCACAACACACAUGUUUUUUAAUCCUAUCUCAACCUUCUUAUCAUCCAAACAAACAAUCGAAAACUGCCAGCAACGGAUCACUCGGUUCUC